rnacentral:lncRNA from 11 species
CAGACCCCAUAUCCCAUUCCCUCUUCUCAUGUCUCCUUGCAUAGAUAAAAAGGUCACGGCCUCUGUGGGACAUAGUAUGUGCAUGAAGACAUGGAUUCUUCAGCUGACAUAUUACUGUACUUGCCACGUAUCCCAGAUGGAGCAAAAGUCACCAGAUGCAGGAGACGGAGCCAUUCCAGAUGCCUGUUGUGGACAAUUCUUGCCAAGAACUCAUUAAAACAGACCUUGAACCAGUUCUUCCCAGCGCUUCUCCCCCCUUUGCGAGAAGGGAGUUCUAUCAGGCAAGCCGUUUCCAAAGGGAACAAACGAGGAGAAGCGCGAGAUUAGCAGCCAGACAGGACAUUAAUUAGCUAGUUUCCCCUGGGAGCUUUCAGGGAGGAAACGCAUAUGGACGAAGAUGUGUUUCGCUUCUUUUUCCCUUGGGAAAGGAAGCUCUGGACACCUGCUCUGCAGGAAGAUUAAAGUUCUUUAAAAGUUCCCCACACUGGUGAAUCCGUUGCGGAGUCAACAGAUCAGCUUAAGGAUUAACUUCGGUUCCAGCCAAGUGUGGACUGUGUUUGAGUCUGCAACCUCCAGUUCCUUCGUGCCUUGCCUUGCCGUGUUUCAUGACCUAUCUCGCCGUGUUUUCCAGCCUUGCAUCUUGUGCCAAGUAUCCAGUCUUGUCUCCAACUCCCUGCCUUGGACUUACAUUAACUUCAGAAAAACUCCUGGACACUUUCCCCACUCUAACUGCUUGGAAGUGGAGUGUGUUUCAAUUCUGGAAUUAUAACUUUGGACUCUAAUAUUAUGUACUGGACAAUAUAUUUCUGGACUAUAUUUGACCUUCCCAGAAAGGUCUAUUGUUGGACUACAUUUUCUAUUUGUUUUUAUC